CUUGCCCCUAGACAUGUCAUAGGUAUGACUGCUGUGUCACAUGUGUGUCAGUAGGUGGCAGAGAGGAGAGAGGCUUUGUCUAUGCUCAGCAUUCUGACCUGUGAACAUCUGAAUGCUUAGUAGCCUAACAUU